rnacentral:rRNA from 1 species
AGUGAACGCUGGCGGUAGGCCUAACACAUGCAAGUCGAACGGCAGCACAGUAAUUUCUUGCUCUUACGGCUGUCGAGUGGCGGACGGGUGAGGAAUACAUCGGAAUCUACUUUUUCUUUCGUCCUAACGUAGGUUAACUUACUCUAAUACCGCAUACUACCUUCGGGUGUAAGCUGGGGAUCUUCGGCCCUUGCGCGAUUGUAUGAGCCGAUGUCGGAUUAGCUAGUUGGCGGGGUAAAGGCCCACCAAGGCGACGAUCCGUAGCUGGUCUGAGAGGAUGAUCAGCGACACUGGAAGUGAGAAACGGUACAGACUACUACGGGAGGCAGCAGUGGGGAAUAUUGGACAAUGGGCGAAAGCAUGAUACAGCAAGACCGCGUGGGUGAAGAAGGGCUUCGGGUUGUAAAGCACUUUAGGUGGGAAAGAAAAGCAGCAGGUUAAUACCCAGCUGUUAUGACGGUACCAAAAGAAUAAGCACCGGCUAACUUCGUG